rnacentral:rRNA from 1 species
GAAAGGCCAAUCAAACCGGGAGAUAGCUGGUUCUCCCCGAAAGCUAUUUAGGUAGCGCCUCGUGAAUUCAUCUCCGGGGGUAGAGCACUGUUUCGGCAAGGGGGUCAUCCCGACUUACCAACCCGAUGCAAACUGCGAAUACCGGAGAAUGUUAUCACGGGAGACACACGGCGGGUGCUAACGUCCGUCGUGAAGAGGGAAACAACCCAGACCGCCAGCUAAGGUCCCAAAGUCAUGGUUAAGUGGGAAACGAUGUGGGAAGGCCCAGACAGCCAGGAUGUUGGCUUAGAAGCAGCCAUCAUUUAAAGAAAGCGUAAUAGCUCACUGGUCGAGUCGGCCUGCGCGGAAGAUGUAACGGGGCUAAACCAUGCACCGAAGCUGCGGCAGCGACACUAUGUGUUGUUGGGUAGGGGAGCGUUCUGUAAGCCUGUGAAGGUGGCCUGUGAGGGUUGCUGGAGGUAUCAGAAGUGCGAAUGCUGACAUAAGUAACGAUAAAGCGGGUGAAAAGCCCGCUCGCCGGAAGACCAAGGGUUCCUGUCCAACGUUAAUCGGGGCAGGGUGAGUCGACCCCUAAGGCGAGGCCGAAAGGCGUAGUCGAUGGGAAACAGGUUAAUAUUCCUGUACUUGGUGUUACUGCGAAGGGGGGACGGAGAAGGCUAUGUUGGCCGGGCGACGGUUGUCCCGGUUUAAGCGUGUAGGCUGGUUUUCCAGGCAAAUCCGGAAAACCAAGGCUGAGGCGUGAUGACGAGGCACUACGGUGCUGAAGCGACAAAUGCCCUGCUUCCAGGAAAAGCCUCUAAGCAUCAGGUAACAUCAAAUCGUACCCCAAACCGACACAGGUGGUCAGGUAGAGAAUACCAAGGCGCUUGAGAGAACUCGGGUGAAGGAACUAGGCAAAAUGGUGCCGUAACUUCGGGAGAAGGCACGCUGAUAUGUAGGUGAAGCGACUUGCUCGUGGAGCUGAAAUCAGUCGAAGAUACCAGCUGGCUGCAACUGUUUAUUAAAAACACAGCACUGUGCAAACACGAAAGUGGACGUAUACGGUGUGACGCCUGCCCGGUGCCGGAAGGUUAAUUGAUGGGGUUAGCGGUAACGCGAAGCUCUUGAUCGAAGCCCCGGUAAACGGCGGCCGUAACUAUAACGGUCCUAAGGUAGCGAAAUUCCUUGUCGGGUAAGUUCCGACCUGCACGAAUGGCGUAAUGAUGGCCAGGCUGUCUCCACCCGAGACUCAGUGAAAUUGAACUCGCUGUGAAGAUGCAGUGUACCCGCGGCAAGACGGAAAGACCCCGUGAACCUUUACUAUAGCUUGACACUGAACAUUGAGCCUUGAUGUGUAGGAUAGGUGGGAGGCUUUGAAGUGUGGACGCCAGUCUGCAUGGAGCCGACCUUGAAAUACCACCCUUUAAUGUUUGAUGUUCUAACGUUGGCCCCUAAUCGGGGUUGCGGACAGUGUCUGGUGGGUAGUUUGACUGGGGCGGUCUCCUCCUAAAGAGUAACGGAGGAGCACGAAGGUUGGCUAAUCCUGGUCGGACAUCAGGAGGUUAGUGCAAUGGCAUAAGCCAGCUUGACUGCGAGCGUGACGGCGCGAGCAGGUGCGAAAGCAGGUCAUAGUGAUCCGGUGGUUCUGAAUGGAAGGGCCAUCGCUCAACGGAUAAAAGGUACUCCGGGGAUAACAGGCUGAUACCGCCCAAGAGUUCAUAUCGACGGCGGUGUUUGGCACCUCGAUGUCGGCUCAUCACAUCCUGGGGCUGAAGUAGGUCCCAAGGGUAUGGCUGUUCGCCAUUUAAAGUGGUACGCGAGCUGGGUUUAGAACGUCGUGAGACAGUUCGGUCCCUAUCUGCCGUGGGCGCUGGAGAACUGAGGGGGGCUGCUCCUAGUACGAGAGGACCGGAGUGGACGCAUCACUGGUGUUCGGGUUGUCAUGCCAAUGGCACUGCCCGGUAGCUAAAUGCGGAAGAGAUAAGUGCUGAAAGCAUCUAAGCACGAAACUUGCCCCGAGAUGAGUUCUCCCUGAGACUUAGAGUCUCCUGAAGGAACGUUGAAGACGACGACGUUGAUAGGCCGGGUGUGUAAGCGCAGCGAUGCGUUGAGCUAACCGGUACUAAUGAACCGUGAGGCUUAACCUU